ACUGGUCUUUAGAAACUACUUAAACUUGUGCAGCUUUGGUGUAAUGUCAAAGCUGUCCAUCCAUAAUUAUUUGAGGAAGGCUAUAAAAUACACUCUUUUCCAGCUUUAGUGUUGAUAUGAUACCAGGUUAUUUUCAUAUGUUUUAACCAGAGCAAUUUUUUUUUUUUUUUUGCAACAGAUUGAAUGUAGGAGCAGAGAGGCCAUCAUUGUUUUAGCCUGAUUUAAAAAGCUGUGCAAAAUUGCAAAACGUUUUCAAUGCAAUAAAUAUUGGCAGCCAUAAUCCAUGGUGAAUGGAUUUUUUCAGCAGUGACACAAGUUGCUCAAGUAGCUCCUGGUGGGUUUUUGAACACAGGCUGGAGGGAAGGACACACAUGCC